GUCUCGUCCGACUAUCGACUCCGAGCUUUCGUCUUCCUUCCGUGUCCGUUAGAUUCUGAUGUUGCUGCCGAUGUCGUCGUCAUGAUCGACGUGUUUUGACCUCGCCGCGAGCUUACGUGUUGAGUAGUGAUGACUGGAUUUUGGCUUUGGAUGGUGUUCUUCAGGUAAGGCUCUGGCAAUAGUGCUCGCGGAGAAGGGGAUAUUCGUAACGGUGGUCGACUUCUCGGAAGACAGGGGAAAGGAAGUGGCCUCCCUCGUCGAGAAAGCGAAUUCCAAGUUCCACUUCAGCUUGGGAUUUCCCUCCUCCAUCUUCGUGAAAUGCGACGUCUCCAACUCGAGUGAGUUUGCCUCGUUGUCUCGAGCUUUUCAGGUUUCUCGGGUUUACGGAGAUUGUGGUGACGGUUGUUGUCUUGUUUGGUGAGUAGGGGAUGUCGUCAACGCCUUCGAGAAGCAUGUCACGACCUACGGGGGACUGGACAUUUGUAUCAAUUGCGCUGGCAUCAUUACCCCGAUCCCGUUCCACAAGGAUCAGACCAACGGGACUCGAUCCUGGCGGCACGCGCUGAACGUGAAUUUGGUCGCUGUCAUCGACUGCACUCACCUUGCGGUAAGUCCGCAAUUUUUCCAAGCACUUCACUUGGUGAUGCUGCAGUGACCAAGGCGAGCUUUUUGAGCAUUUGCCUGAGAUUAUCAUCUUGUUUUCUUUCUUCCUUUCCUCUUUUGGUUGGAGGGAGCAAUGACACUUCUGAGUGCUAGUGGAUAUUGCUUUACUGUGAGGAAAGUAGCACAAAAUGAUCUGCACUUCUUAACAGGUUAAGGCCAUGGAAUCUGCUGGGAGACCCGGUGUAAUAAUAAACAUGGGAUCUGCUGCAGGUCUUUAUCCUACGUACGCUGAUCCUAUCUAUUCUGCCUCAAAAGGUUAGUUCUCAGUUAAUGCCUCCUUUCAUUUUUCAAUUUCAAUUCUGUUUCCCCAGCUAUAUAUAUAGAGAGAGAGACGGAAUUCCUGCACCAGUGUCCCUCUGGUGAUACCACCUUUUAAUUAUUAAGAGACUUUAUAACAUUGCAGGUGGCGUCAUCUUGUUUACCAGAUCCCUUGCACCCUUCAAGCGCCGAGGAAUUCGCGUCAAUGUACUUUGCCCUGAGGUGCUGUAUUAAACUAGAAGGUUUUGUGAUGCGAUGUACUAGUGUAAUCAAAACUCAGGAAGAUUGUUUCUUUUGAUUGCUCAUCUCAUGCUGUUUGAAAGUCGUCAGCAAUUGACAUAGGCACUUUUAAUGACAUGAUUAUUCAUCUUCCUUUUUGUUUUUUCCCCUGAAGUGCUUAAUAUUGAGGAUUCAUUUUUCUGCUGUCAAUUCCAGAUUUGUUACAGGGGGAACUGUUGCCUUCGUGAAUUUGAAUCUUGCUCGGAUUUAUCUGAAUUUUCUCCUUUAUUAAUUUUAAUUUCAAGCAGGGGUAUUAUCGUGACCAGAAACUUCUAUGGACCUUAUGGUACAUGACUCUUCUUCUGAUGUUCAAUAGUGUCAUUAUCUAGAGCUGAUCUCUCCAAAUACUCGUUCUAGAUCGGGGAAGACCAAUAAUUUGCAAGUUGAUCUUCACUGCAGGAGAAACUCUGUUGUCCUGCUAUGUUUUUGUAUGUUGAAUAACACCUUAUGAAAUAAAUUCAUCAUGGUGAUUGGGAAACAUUAUUCUACCACGAAUACCUAACAUAGUUUCUGUGUCUGAGUGUUGGAUAUGUCUGAUUCCUUACACCCUGUUUUUGGAGCAGAAAGCUGAAAAAAUAUGUAACUGUGUUUCUUUUUAACUAGUCGUAGCACUGUUGGAGUGCCUGAAAAGAAUUGUAAGCUGGAGCUGAUUUAUGGAGGGAACUUCAAGAUAACAUUGCUAGGAUAUGGAAUUAUGCUUGGUCUUUUGAGGGAAUAAACUAUGUUAGCAGUUGUACUUGAUCCCUUUAGGGUGUAAAAUAAUAUACUAAUCUCAGCUAGUCUUUCUUUCUUUACCGAUUCUUGCUUUUCAUUUCCUUCAGGCUGGUCAUUUGGUCUACUGGGAGAUGCUUUGGUGACUGUUGGGUGCAUUAUCUUUAGUAAAUUUCAUUACUCCUAAUGCUGUAGAUCAAUGGGAAGCUUAAUCAUUACCGAAAAAUGUUGAGAAUUGCAUGUGCAUCAAGCUAUCUUCUCCUGUGACCUGGCCCUUUGUUUGAUCGUUGGUUUAGCUUAUUGUAGUCCAUUUUUAUCUGACCUGAUUUCCUUUGCUCCAGAAAAUGUAUUGUGGUGAGUAUGAUGCUUAAUAGAUUCUCUACUUAUGCAGUUUGUUCGAACAGAGAUGACCUUAAAGAUGGAUUCUGACUUCGUAGACUUGAUGGGGGGCUUUUUACCUAUGGAAAUGGUGGUGAAAGGUACAUCCAUAUACAGUCUUCUCCACGUGCUUUACAUCUUAUCGGACUUAUAAAUCAAAAUAUAUGAAAAUGACAUAGUUUUUGUAUGAUCGACACAAAUUCACUCUCUUACUGCAAUCAAAUUUUAUGAGCAUGAGUCGUUUGCUCUGGACUUUGGAGCAUUUAAAAUUUUCUGUAUUAGGAUUUAGAUAUACUAUAGAGAUGCAUACUGGUACAACUACAAAAUUUGUAGAAAAAUUUAAAGAACUGCCAUACAUGAUUAGUGAGGGACUCAUUGGAUCCUGCUCCAAAAAUGUGCUAUCAUAUGUAGAAGGGAUCGCUUCUGAUGGCUAGUCCACUUACACUUUCCAGGAGCUUUUGAACUUAUUACUGAUGAAAGCAAAGGUGGUUCAUGUCUAUGGAUCACAAAGCGCAAUGGCAUGCAAUAUUGGCCCAGUGCAGCAGAAGAGGCAAAAUACCGAGUGAAAUCCUCAAGUUUCACAAGAAGAUUAUUGUACAAAGGACCAGUGAAUUUGCAACUUCCUAAGAAUUUUGAGAAAAUGUGAGUGAAGAUAAUUUUGGGCUACUGUAUGUGUGUACAUAAUUGAACUGUUCAACCAGAGUAGUGUUUAGCUUCUUAUAGCGCAAACCUGGACUGCUUAGGUAUUCCGUAGGUACUCCAUCAGCUACAGUACGUCAUUGCUCUUGUAUAAGUGGAAUGACAAAUUGCCAUGAUGAGUUUAGGCUUGAUGGUCUUCCAUCUCUAUGAGGCUUCUAGACAAACUUCUUUCACAGUUUGACCAUGUUAUGUCAUUUUAUAUCGUAACAGCUUUUCUUUUCCUGGUUCGAUUACCAGGGUAAUGGGUACAGCUUGAACCAUAUCUUUGCUAAGAAUGAUUUCAUUCCCAUCCUUUAUUUAUCUUGUUUUACUUUAAACAUGCACAAAAGAGGAAGUCAGCUUUUGCAGAGUAGAUCUGUGUAUUAAUUUUCAAUGUGGACGUGAACAGUGGACUAAAGUAAUUGUAAGCAAUGACUUACUACACUUUAAUGCGCUUGACAUUUAUAUCACUGCAAUAGCCGUAUCAAUGCAAUUAUUAAAUUGUCAAAAAAUGAGUAUGCUUUAGAAUCAUCCAUUGAUGGUUUUCCCCUUCUAUAUGUUUGGAUUAAUAGGUGUCAGAGCACCCUCCAUAAGCUGUUAUACUGGUUAUGUUGAUCCUUGAGUUCCAAUUUUCUUUAGUGGAUUUUAGAUUUUUAGUUAAUAACAUGUUUUAUUAUCUGGUAUUCUUAUUGAAUCCUGAACGGAAUUUUUUCUUAAGCUUCUCUUCCUGAGGAACAAAGUACUUACAACUUAGAAAUUUUGUUUGGAAAUAUAAGCAUUUUAUCAAUUGGAAGAUCUAUUGAUGUAUUUUAAAUUUUUGUAUUCAGCGUGGUUCACACCUUGACUCACAAUUUCCGUGAUGCUACCCGGAUUAUUCAAACGCCUUUGAGGUUGCCAAUUGAACCACAGCAUGUCCUUGUGAAAAUCGUAUAUGCUGGAGUAAAUGCAAGUGAUGUAAGUUCAAGGCUUCUUUUAAGAAUAUUAGCUUUUUCUCAUCCUUUAUGAUUGGUAUUCUUUUAAUUUCAGGUAAAUCUUUCUCAUCCUCUUCUCAUAUGCAUAGUUCUGUGUCGGCUGAUCCAUUUGUAAAACUAUGCUUAAAACUUCAACUUGAAAUUUAGCUUUUCUAUUUGUUACUGUAGCAAACAUCAAAAAGCAAAUUGGAUCUUUGUAAUGUGGCUUAUAUACAAUUGAUAGGACUAUCCCUUAAUACAAGCCAACUAAGUUAUCCUUUAACCAGCCUAUGAGUUGAUAGAUGACUGAUAACUCAGCACCAAAGUUAGUGUUCCAAUUUCAUGAGAUGCUUGCUGGUAUAACUGGGUAUAACUGGUUUUUUCUUUUACUAAGAAUCUUUUAUUCCCUUCAACUUCAGGAGUUUGUUAUGUAUUUGAAGGUUUUCACUCAGGAUUCAGCUUGCAUGUCAAAAUCUAUACAGAAUCCAUGUGUAUUUCUGAUGCUAGCGCGUUUCUUGUGCAGUAUUUAAUAGAGAGAAUUUAUUAAAACUCCAGAGAUAAUCAUUUGACAGGCCCCAGACUGCUAGAUCUGUGUGACUGUUAGAUAUUAGGAGCGAUUGUGAAUACUUGAUAUAGAGUCAGCAUUCUAGCUUUUUUAAUAAAAAACAAUCAUGCUUUAAACAGGUGAAUUUCAGCUCGGGACGUUAUUUCCAAGGUGGAAAGGGAGAUGUUGGGUCCCAUCUUCCUUUUGAUGCUGGCUUUGAGGUCUGGGAAAAAUCUAUUUCUGUUGUCGCAUUUUGCAAUAUCCAAUAAUGCUGAUUUUCUUGGCAUAGUUUUGUGGUUCCUCUAGCAGCACCAUAUAUUUGUUAUACUCAUAAUGGUAUCUUCAUUAUGGACAUGGCAGGCUGUGGGGAUAAUCGCUGCAGUUGGUGAUUCUGUCAAGGAUUUGAAAGUUGGCAUGCCUGCUGCACUGAUGACUUUUGGAAGCUAUGCAGAAUUUACAAUGGUAAAAUUAUAUUCCAUAGGGAUAUUUUAAUGUCAAUGGCUGGUUUUGACUGUGGUUAAUAUCUUUCAUAGCCUCUCAGUACUGCAAAUUCAUGACAUGGAGAUCCCUGUUUUAUUGUAAUAAAUAUCAUUUCUUUCUCAGGUUCCGGCAAAACACGUCCUUUCAGUGGCCAGGCCAGAUCCAGAAGUAGUUGCCAUGCUUACUUCAGGGCUUACAGCAUCUAUGCACUAGAAAAGGUCGGACUUUUAUGCAAUAUAGCAAACUAUGCUUUUUAUUUCCUUUUGCAAUUUUAUUCGCUGGAGCUGUUGCUUCCGGUCAUUUUUCUAGUCUAAGUACACAAGAUAAUUACCUUCNNNNNNNNNNNNNNNNNNNNNNNNNNNNNNNNNNNNNNNNNNNNNNNNNNNNNNNNNNNNNNNNNNNNNNNNNNNNNNNNNNNNNNNNNNNNNNNNNNNNGACAUUAAUUUUCAUGUCCCCAAAUCCCAAAACAUGUGUAUAUGUAAAUGAAAAUUAGGAAAUCGUAUACUAAUGCAUGAUAGAACUUAAACCAAAUAAUGCGGUACCGAAAUUUGGACGUGGGGACUGCUAAUGCUCCCUCACGCAUAAUGUGACAUCCGGACUUAGAUAUCUACUUUUCAGGGAGGAGUUGGUCCCUAGGUGAUUCCCCCGACACCUAUGCUUUUAAAUUCUCAAUCAACCAAGAGAUGUUUUGUGGCGACUCCUUGAAAAGGCUUACGGUCCUAAUCGCGAUAACGUACCCCAACUCAGAAUUGGGAAGAGUCUGGGGCAUAGAGCAUGGUACUUGAAGUAAAAUUCGAGUAUUUCGUAAGAACUCUUUUCAAAUACCUAAAGUGAAAUAUAAGUAUUUCGUAAAAAUUAUUUUCGAAUCCCAAAAGUGGCUUCAUGGAGAGAAAAUAAUAAUGGGCACAUGAUUAAAAACUAAUGAAAUAAUGGAUUUAGCCAUGCUCGUUCACGGCUUGUGCGUGUGGAGUCGAGGGAAAUGUACUUUUUUUUUUUUUUUUUUUUUUUUUUUUUUGGCCUGAAGAGGGAAAUGUACUUCAAGCCAAAGUCUGCAAGGGAGGAAAGAAACAAAAACACAGUACAGGAAAGAAAAAAAAAAAAAAAAGAUAUGUUCUCUUUCCUUGGAGGUUCAGAUUUCUCACAUAUAAAGGAGGAGUUGACACUCAUAAAGACAAGAGAGGCGUGAGUUCCGAGAAAAGACGACAAUUCCAAGAAAGAGAGGAAAAAUGAAACAGGAGACAGAACGCGUUGAAAAUUCUAAAAAUUGUUAGUUGAAUUCUUUCAUCAAUUUCGUCUAACAUAAUUGACAGAAAAUGUUGACGUGAUUUUUUUAAUAUUUUCUCUCUCCCUUGUUUUGAUGCAAAUCAUAUUUAUUCAAAUUAACUUUAAAAUAUGCUAAAUAUAAAAAAUUGAAAGAAAAAUAACAGAAAAUGUUGACAUUUCACAUAAGACAACCGGUAUUCACGCAAGUGAUUUCUAACCUAAAUUGGAUGAAUAGAACAAUGCGAAAAAUUUUUGAAUUAAAUUGAUGCAAUUGAAAUGUUUACGUCUAAAUUAAUAUAAAUAUAAUAGGUUUAGCAUUGAAUUGGUACUUUUCCCUAUAGGUUUGUGUUACAUGUCUUUAAUCUAGUAAAUUUCCUGGGUAAACAAACGGAAUGUAAUAUAGAUAAUCUUUUUUUUUUUGGGUAAAUUUUGACUGUCAGAUUCUGCAGAUAAAUGAGAGGGUUAUAAAGAAAUAAAUCACAUCAAACCCUACAAAAAAAUCGUUGCAAAUUGAUUGUGGUCCUAAUUUCCAUUAAAGCCGUCUCCCAAAAAAAAAAAGACUUGGAAUAUUUCAAAAGCAUCGAAAUCCCCAAUACGUGACCCCCCCACUCCGGCGGGAUUCUCCUCGUUAAUUGGGCCGUCCAGAUCAGAUUAUCUUUCAUCGAUUCGGCUCGUUUGGUUAUUUUCGGGUGCGUACGGGAACAUGCUAUGCUCCGUGGGGGACUGCGAACCGCCGGCGGCUCGAUUCCCGGGCCGCCUCCGGCCGGAACGCGAACGAACGAACGAGUAACGACGAAAAGGAAAAGAUCCGCCGCCUCGCUCUUUCGUUCCUUCUCAUCCUUUUCGGGCCGAACAACCGACCGCCGGUGGACCCCACCGCAACCUCGUUUUUCCCGCCAUUGGAUCUGACGACGAAUCGUCAGCGACGGUUGCUUUGCUCUCUUCACUACCUUCUCCUUCUUCUCCUUCUUCUUCGUCUUCGAAACGUCGUCGGACGCCGGCAGCACUCACUCCCCGCGCGACCGCCCAUGGAGCUCAAGCCCGGCCUGUCCGCUCUCGUCACCGGCGGAGCUUCCGGCAUCGGUAAAAACCUCUCUUCUCCCCCGCUCGUCUCGCCUCCGCCGCCGCCGCCGGGGGAACUGUCGAUCGCAGUCGAACUCGAUUCGCGGCGAUCGGUCUGGUCCGACUAUCGACUCCGAGCUUUCGUUUCCGUUGGAUUCUGAUGUUGCUGCCGAUGUCGUCGUCAUGAUCGACGUGUUUUGAGCUCGUCGCGAGCUUACGUGUUGAGUAGCGUUGAUCGGGAUUUUGGCUUUGGAUGGUGUUCUUCAGGUAAGGCUCUGGCGAUAGCGCUCGCGGAGAAGGGGAUAUUCGUGACGGUGGUCGACUUCUCGGAAGACAGGGGAAAGGAAGUGGCCUCCCUCGUCGAGAAGGCGAAUUCCAAGUUCCACUCCAGCUUGAGAUUUCCCUCCGCCAUCUUCGUGAAAUGCGACGUGUCCAACUCGAGUGAGUUGCCCUGUUCUCUCUGUUCAUGAAGCUUUUUGGGAUUCACCGGUUUACGGAGAUUGUGGUGACGGAUGUUGUCUUGUUUGGUGAGCAGGGGAUGUCGUCAACGCCUUCGAGAAGCAUGUCGCGACCUACGGGGGACUGGACAUCUGCAUCAAUUGCGCCGGCAUCACUACCCCGAUCCCGUUCCACAAGGAUCAGACCGAUGGGACUCGAUCCUGGCGGCACGCGCUGAACGUGAAUUUGGUCGCCGUCAUCGACUGCACUCGCCUCGCGGUAAGACCGCAUAUUUUCCGAGCACUUAGCUUGGUGAUGCUGCAGUGACCAAGUCGAGCUUUUUUAUUAUUUGCCUGAGAUUAUCAUCUUGUUUUCUCUCUUUCUUUUGUCUUUCGGUUGGAGGGAGCAAUGACAAUUCUGAUUGCUAGUGGAUAUUGUUUUACCAUGAGGAAAGUAGCACAAAAUGAUCUGCACUUCUUAACAGGUUAAGGCCAUGGAAUCUGCUGGGAGACCUGGUGUUAUAAUAAACAUGGGAUCUGCUUCAGGUCUUUAUCCUAUGUACCCUGAUCCUAUCUACUCUUGCUCAAAAGGUUAGUUCUCAGUUAUUGCCUCUCAUUUUUCAAUUUUAAUUCUGUUUCCCCAGCUACAUAUAUAUAUAUACAUAUAUCUGACGGAAUUCCUGCACAAGGGUCCCUCUGGUGAUACUACGUUUCAAUUUUUAAGAGACUUGAUAACAUUGCAGGUGGUGUCGUCUUGUUUACCAGAUCCCUUGCACCCUUCAAGCGCCGAGGAAUUCGCAUCAAUGUACUUUGCCCGGAGGUACUGUAUUAAAUUAGAAGGUUUUGCGAUGCGAUGUACUAGUGUAAUCAAAACUCGGGAAGAUUGUUUCUUUUGAUUGGUUAUCUCGUGCUGUUUGAAAGUCUUCAGUACUUGACAUAGACACUUUUAAUGACAUGAUUAUUCAUCUUCCUCUUUGUUUUUUCGCCUGAAGUGCUUAAUCAAUUGAAGAUUCAUUUUUCUGCUCUCAAUUUCGCAUUUGUUACGGGUGGAACUAUUGCCUUCAUGAAUCUCGAAUCUUGCUCGAAUUUAUCAGAAAUUUCUCCUUUAUUAAUCUUAAUUUCAAGCAAGGGUAUCAUGAUGACCAGAAACUUCUGUGGACCUUAUGGAGUAUAUGACUCUUCUUCUGAUGUUCGAUAGUGUCAUCCUCUAGAGAUGAUCUCUCUAAAUACUCAUUCUAGAUCGGGGAAGACCAAUAAUUUGCAAGUUGAUCUUUCUGUUGUCCUGCUAUGUUUCUGUAUGUUGAAUAACACCUUAUGAAAUAAAUUCAUCAUGGUGAUUGAGAAACAUUAUUCUACCAGGAAUACCUAACAUAGUUUCUGUGUCUGAGUGUUCGAUAUGUCUGAUUCCUCACACCUUGUUUUUGGAGCAGAAAGCAAAAAAAAAAAAAAAAUGUAACUGUGUUUCUUUUUAACUAGUCAUAGCACUGUUGGAGUGCCUGAAAAGAAUUGUAAGCUGGAGCUGAUUUAUGGAGGGAACUUCAAGAUAACAUUGCUAGUAUAUGGAAUUGUACUUGGUCUUUUGAGGGAAUAAACUGUGUUAGCAGUUGUACUUGAUCCGUUUAGGGUGUAAAAUAAUAUACUAAUCUCAGCUAGUCCUUCUUUCUUUACUGAUUCUUGCUUUUCAUUUCCUUCAGGCUGGUCAUUUGGUCUACUAGGAGAUGCUUUGGUGACUGUUUGGUGCAUUAUCUUUAGUAAAUUGCAUUACUCCUAAUGCUGUAGAUCAAUGGGAAGCUUAAUCAUUACUGAAAAAUGUUGAGAAUUGCAUGUGCAUCAAGCUAUCUUCCCCUGUGACCUGCCCCUUUGUUUGAUCGUUGGUUUAGCUUAAAUUUUGAUGUUCAAAUUUCACUUAUUUGGUUUUUAUUAUGACAAUAAAAAGGAGCAUAGAAUUUUGUAGUCCAGUUUAAUCUGACCUGAUUUCCUUUGCUCCAGAAAAUGUCUUGUGCUGUGUAUGAUGCUUAAUGGUUGAAUCCUGAACUACUUAUGCAGUUUGUUCGAACAGAGAUGGCCUUAAAGAUGGACUCUGACUUUAUAGACUUGAUAGGGGGCUUUGUACCUAUGGAAAUGGUGGUGAAAGGUACAUCCAUAUAGUCUUCUCCACGUGCUUUACAUCUUAUCGGACUUUUAAAUCAAAAUGAAUAAAUAUAAAAUAGUUUUUGUAUGAUUGACACAAAUUCACUCUUUUACUGCAAUCGAAUUUUCUGAGCAUGAGUCGUUUGCUCUGGACUUUGGAGCAUUUAAAGUUUCUGUAUUAAGAUUUAGAUAUACUAUAGAGAUGCAUACUGGUACAACUGCAAAAUUUGUAGAAAAAUUUAAAGAACUGCCAUACAUGAUUAGUGAGGGACUCAUUGGACCCUGCUCCAAAAAUGUGCUAUCAUAUGUAGAAGGGAUCGCUUCUGAUGGCUAGUCCACUUACACUUUCCAGGAGCUUUUGAACUUAUUACCAAUGAAAGCAAAGGUGGUUCAUGUCUAUGGAUUACAAAGCGUGGUGGCAUGCAAUAUUGGCCCAGUGCAGCAGAAGAGGCAAAAUACCGAGUGAUAUCCUCAAGUUCCACAAGAAGAUUUUUGUACAAAGGACCAGUGAAUUUGCAACUUCCUAAUAAUUUUGAGAAAAUGUGAGUGAAGAUAAUUUGGGGCUACUGUUUGUGUGUACAUAAUUGAACUAUUCAACCAGAGUAGUGUUUAGCUUCUUAAAGCGUAAACCUGGACUGCUUAGGUAUUCCGUAGGUACGUAGGUACUCUAGAGAAUCCCUCUCCUGUUUAUUUAACAGAAGUUGUCAGCUACAGUACGUCAUUACAAAUUGCCAUGAUGAGUUUAGGUUUGAUGGUCUUCCAUCUCUAUGAGGCUUCUAAACAAACUUCACAGUUUGACCAUGUUAUUUCAUUUUAUAUCAUAACAGCUUUUCUUUUCCUGGUUCGAUUACUAGGGUAAUGGGUACAGCUUGAAACAUAUCUUAGCUAAGAAUGAUUUCAUUCCCAUCCUCCAUUUAUCUUGUUUUACUUUAAACAUGCACAAAAGAGGAAGUCAGCUUUUGCAGAGAAGAUCUGUGUCUAUGUUCAAUGUGGAUGUGAACCGUGGACUAAAGUAAUUGUAAGCAAUGACUUACUACGCUUUAAUGGGCUAGACAUUUAUAAUCUGCAAUAGCCGCAUCUAUGCAAUUAUUAAUUGGUCAAAAAUUGAGUAUGCUUUAGAAUCAUCCAUGGAUGGUUUUCCGCUUCUAUAUGUUUGGAUUAAUAGGUUUCGGAGCACCCUCCGUAAGCUGUUAUACUGGUUAUGUUGAUCCUUUAGUUCCAAUUUUCUAUAGUGGAUUUUAGAUUUUUAGUUAAUAACAUGUUUUAUUAUCUGGUAUUCUUAUUGAAUCCUGAAUGGAAUUUUUUUCUUAAGCUUCUCUUUCUGAGGAACAAAGUACUUUCAACUUAGAAAUUUUGUUUGGGAAUAUAAGCAUUUUAUCAAUUGGAAGAUCUAUUGAUGUAUUUUAAAUUUUUAUAUUCAGCGUGGUUCACACCUUGAGUCACAAUUUCCGCGAUGCUACCCGGAUUAUUCGAACGCCUUUGAGGUUGCCAAUUGAACCACAGCAUGUCCUUGUGAAAAUCGUAUAUGCUGGAGUAAAUGCGAGUGAUGUAAGUUCAAGGCUUCUUUUAAGAAAAUUAGCUUUUUCUCAUCCUUUAUGAUUGGUAUUCUUUUAAUUUCAGGUAAAUCUUUCUCAUCCUCUUCUCAUAUGUAUAGCUCUGUGUAUGCUGAUCCUUUUGUAAAACUAUGCUUAAAACUUCAACUCGAAAUUUAGCUUUUCUAUAUGUUACUGUAGUAAACAUCAAAAAGCAAAUUGCAUCUUUGUAAUGUGGCUUAUAUACAAUUGGUAGGACAAUCCCUUAAUACAAGCCAACUAAGUUAUCCUUUAACCAGCCUAUGAGUCGAUAGAUGACUGAUAACUUGGCACCAAAGUUAGUGUUCCAAUUUCUUGAGAUGCUUGCUGGUAUAACUGGUUUUUUAUUUUACUAAGAAUCUUUUUUUCUCUUCAACUUCAGAAGUUUGUUAUGUACUUGAAGGUUUUGACUCGGGAUUCAGCUUGCAUGUCAAAGUCUAUACAGAAUCCAUGUGUAUUUCUGAUGCUAGCACAUUUCUUGUGCAGUAUUUAAUAGAGAGAAUUUAUUAAAACUCCAGAUAUCAUCAUUUAGUAAUUGCUCAUUAGCUAAUAUUUAUUAUCACUAUCUGACAGGCCCCAGACUGUUAGAUCUGUGUGACUCUGUUAGAUAUUAGGAGCGAUUGUGAAUACUUGAUAUAGAGUCAGCAUUCUAGCUUUUUUAAUAAAAAAAUCAUGCUUUAAACAGGUGAAUUUCAGCUCAGGACGUUAUUUUCAAGGUGGAAAGGCAGAUGUUGGGUCCCGUCUUCCUUUUGAUGCUGGCUUUGAGGUCUGGGAAAAAUCUAUUUCUGUUGUCACAUUUUGCAAUAUCCAAUAAUGCUGAUUUUCUUGGCAUAGUUUUGUGGUUCCUAUAGUGGCACCAUAUAUUUGUUAUACUCAUAAUGGUAUCUUCAUGAUUGACAUGGCAGGCUGUGGGGAUAAUUGCUGCAGUUGGUGAUUCUGUCAAGGACUUGAAAGUUGGCAUGCCUGCUGCACUGAUGACUUUUGGAAGCUAUGCAGAAUUUACGAUGGUAAAAUUAUAUUCCAUAGGGAUAUUUUAAUGUCAAUGGCUGGUUUUGACUGUGGUUAAUAUCUUUCAUAGCCUCUCGGUACUGCAAAUUCAUGACAUGGAGAUCCCUGUUUUAUUGUAAUAAAUAUCAUAUCUUUCUCAGGUUCCGGCAAAACACGUCCUUUCAGUGGCCAGGCCAGAUCCAGAAGUAGUUGCCAUGCUUACUUCAGGGCUUACAGCAUCUAUUGCACUAGAAAAGGUCGGACGUUUAUGCAAUAUAGCAAACUAUCUUUUUAUUUCCUUUCGCAAUUUUAUUUGCUGGAGCUGUUGCUUUCGGUCAUUUUUCUAGUCUAAGUACAUCGAGAUAAUUACCUUCAGACAUCUGAUCAUGUCUCAUAUGCUAUAUUAAAAUUUGCGUUUGCUCUUGUUGAAAAUUUAGGCUGGACAAAUGGAAUCUGGCAAAGUAGUUCUUGUUACAGCUGCUGCAGGAGGGACUGGGCAAUUUGCUGUCCAGGUCUGUUUCUCAUUCAGAUUGAUGCUAUUAAAUUAGUAAUAUUAGAUCUAUGACAAUGUGAUUUUGCAACUAUAGUAGGAUUGCAGAGGUCAGUAUUGAGGGAAUGAGAUAUGACGAUCUCUAUCUGUAGUGUUUUUACAUAAUUUCAAUUGAUUGAUGUCCAACAAUUAGUCUAUUGAUACGGUAACUUACUAAAGUGAAAGGUGCUGAAGAAGACGCCAUGAAUUAGGGAGUCGUUAAGUAAGGAUAGUUGGAAAUAAAAACUUUGAAGAACACCCUGCAGUCACAUCUAGCUCUUAGAGGUCCGCUUAACUGGCUUUCUAUCUACAUGCUUGCCAAGCUUGCUUGUCUACUUGAAUGUUACUCCUAAUCUUUUCUUUAGUAGGUGUAUGAUCUUGUCAUGAUCAGGUAAUGUGAUGUGUUUAAUCAUAAUACGGUAUCUAUAGGGGUUUGCUUAUGUACCCUUCUGUCCCGAGUAGUCAAGAACAAUAAAAAUUAUACCCUCCUGCAAAUUUAGGUGAUUGUUAUCCAGAAUUCUGGCUAUCUAGUUGUCUAAUUUUCCAUUGUUAUAUAUUGAUCUUUCCAGUUGUAGACUUAGAAGAAUUAAAAAAUUAACUUAAGUUGCUUUUGCAUAUUUGCAUGUAGCCUUGUGUCCUUGCAUUCAUGAUUCCGCGUGUUUGCCAAAAGGGAAGAAUUAAACUGCAGCUUGCUGAUAUUAUUGUUUCUAAUAUGUUAGCAUUUUCUUCCGGAAGAAAAGAAUCUCUUCUUUCUUAAACACAACAUUGCGUGUGCUUAACUAUGUUCCUCAACUGCCCACAUAAUUUUACACUACUAAGAGUCACUUUGUCUAUGGUGACCAUUUCAGCUUGCAAAAGUUGCUGGAAAUACAGUAGUAGCAACCUGUGGAGGGAGGGAGAAGGCCAUGCUUUUGAAGGAUUUGGGAGUCGAUCGUGUGAUAGAUUAUAAAGCUGAAAACAUCAAAACUGUAUGUCUCCUAAAAUCUGUCUCAUCUGUUCAACUCUCCUUUUUGCACACAAUGUGGAGGUUGAGAUCAAAGACCCUGAUUCAUUCAAGUAGUGUAGCAAAUUAUUUCUAGAUAAGUUCACUGUCACACACAUCUCAGUAGAUAGUUAUAUUGAUUAGGUAAAAUUAAAUGAGCAUAUUCAUCCACAUAUGCACAGAUACUAUCAUAUCUACUCAUGCAAAAUUAAUGUGUACAUGAAACCUUGGAAAUUCUCUUUACCUUCAAUGUUCAUUUUAUUUUUGAAAUGUAGUGCUACUACAUGAUCCUCCAUGCGAAUCCUUUUUGAUAUGGAUCUACUUGGCUGGAUUUGUGAUCAAUUCCUAUCACCUAUUCAACGUCUAAAGAAUAACUUUAGCCUUUUGUCAAUAAGUCGUCUUUGCCCCUCCAUUGGGCUCUGGCGUCUGAAUGCCACUGACAUUAUCCGCAUUUUCAUGUUACAACUUUCCUAUCCUUAAAAGAGGUGCAGAAGAUAAAAAGGUGAUGGUGUUAUAGAACCUUGUUUUUUCUCAUACGGGACACCCUCAAGUGAACAACAGUGUGCCUUAGUGAAUGGUUUACUCUUUGACAUUUUUGUAAUUUCAUACCAUGUCUCAAAUAGCUAGCUGCAGCCUUCCCUUGUGCAUGAACUUUAUGCAGUUUAAUUACUAUUCUCUAUAUUGUAACAAUUCUUGUAGGAUUAUGUUUGGAGUCUAGACCGGUUUCUGCAUUUUUUUCUCCUCUUGGAUUUAGUUUUUUUGUGAACUUUCAUUUAAAAUGAAUUCAUUUAUCAUGAUUUACAAGAUAAUGCAUGAUACUCAAAUAAAAGAUUAUGUAAUGAGCUUUUUCUCUAUCUUUUCCAAAUUUACAGGUUUUGAAGAAGGAAUUUCCAAAAGGUGUUGACAUAGCUUAUGAGUCUGUUGGUGGGGAAAUGUUUGAUCUUUGCUUGAAUGCUUUGGCCAUGUUUGGACGAUUGAUUGUAAUUGGCAUGAUUUCUCAGGUAUUGCAUCCUUAUGUUGUUGACAUCCAUCUGGGCCCAAUCUUUUAUCAUGAGUUUCCAGCAGUUCCAAUGUCAAACUUAGUUAUCUCGAGUAGGCUGUGUGGAAGCUUUUACAUUCUUGCUCACUUUCAGUGAGAUACCACUGAAAGGAAAGUUAGGUUUCUGAAGUUUUUGUAUGAGUCUUGUGGUCGUAAUGCAUGGUAGAAGUUCUACUGCGAUCACAUUUCUGUGCACAGAGGGUCACAAGACAGACAUGAAGAUGUUUUGCUUUGUAUAAUGAGGAAUAUUGGUUAGAGAUGCUAUAGAAAUAAAGAAGACUGUGCAAGGAGUCUUUGUAGCAAGUGCUACAUGUUUUCUAUCAACAUGCAUGUAUGGUUUUUCUCCAGUGUCUCCUGUUGUUGCGUUCUGUUCCCUCAAUAUGCAUACCGUUCUAACAUUCUUCAUGCUUGAGUAUUACCUAUUGACAGUUGUACAUAAUUUUUAACCAGUACAAAAUUACUACUUUGAUUGUAGUAUCAAGGAGAGCAUGGAUGGACACCAAAUAAUUACCCUGGACUGUGCGAGAAAAUUCUGGCUAAAAGCCAAACUGUGGUAUGUUUGAUAAUACUACUGCGUAAAGGACAGUGAUUGUACUCUACUGCAAUAAUUUUGCUCUUGGUGAUGCGCCAACUAUAUAUCAGGAAUAAGCAUGGACUGUGAAUUCUAUAGUUGUUUAUGCCUUUCUCCCCUUGAAGUGUAUAAUAUGAUAUUGACAAUGUUGGCAGGCUGGUUUUUUCCUGGUACAAUAUAGUCACUUCUGGCAAGAACAUCUAGAUAGACUCUUUCAACUCUAUUCCAGAGGACAACUCAAGGUACUGCUCUUCUUCUUCUUUUUUUAACGUUUCUUUUACUGGUGAGACCGGACUCUUUCAUCAUAGAUCAUGCUGAACUUACAUUUCAUUAAUUGUAGAUAUCUGUGCCUUUCGCACAAUGCAAGGCCCUUACUUUCCUGUUAUCUUAUUCCUUCAGCCUUAUUUUGAUAUCCAAUUCCCUACCAAAAGUCGCUGCCAAACUAAAUCUGUAGAAUCAGUUGGAUGAUUAUCUCUGUGCCUAAGUUGCUAUCGCUGCUGAAUUUCAAAGUUCGCCCAGACUUAAUCUUCUAACUGAAUGCAGGUGGCCAUCGACCCAAAGAGAUUUGUGGGUCUCAAUGCUGUGGCAGAUGCUGUUGAGCAUCUUCAUUCUGGUAAAAGUAUUGGCAAGGUAUGUUCAUUUUCCACGAAUUUUAUGGAUAUUUUGGGCACAUCAUUUGCAAAUUUCAUUACUUUGUUUUUUUUUUUCUUUUCUUGAUGCAUAAUAAAUUUUGUGAAUAUGAACAAAAUCUUAUUCCAGGUGGUGGUCUGCAUAGAUCCAACUUUCACUGAUCAAGUAGCAAGACUGUGAAGUCUGAUCAAGGCUGUUUGAUUGUUUUGUUAAUAACUGUCAAAGUGAAUUACAAAGGGAUCUGUUUGAAAUAAUGUCUCAGAGUGCAUAUCCUUCCAAGCGAUUAUUAGGGAACUGCAGUAAGAGACCUCGAGAAAAUGAAAGUUAAUCUUCAGCAGAAAAAACCAAAAGGCUACAAAGGAAUUGAAGUGAUAAAUAUGAAUUGCCCAUGGCUUUUUGCCAGGCGACAAAAGCUGGUAAGUCCCCUUUAGAUAUUCUGACAACCCUUUUGUGGUCAUUCUCAUAAACAGAACCGUCGCACAAAUGAUUACAAUGUAAGGAAACAUCAUUUUUGAUGUAAACAGAUCGGUUGAAGUGUCCCAUUUAACACCCUGUUUUUUGUUCAGCUGGGCGUUAAUGACGUGGUAGAUCACUGUUUGAUUCUUUUUCUUACAUAAUGCUUUUGGUGUUCAAAAAGCUAGUGACGUUAAUUACCCGCACCGCCCGAUUAACCGCAAAAUAACUUAGGAUGUUUCAGACACAAUGAAAGAUAUGUCUUGUACAACUUUGAUGGUGCAAAAAGCAAGCAUGUUGCUGUUAAUUUUAGAUAGAAUACUACUGAUACAUACUGCUCCCAUGACAAUCAAUGCCCAAGCACAUAGCAGGAACGCGUUGCACUCUUGUUCACUUUCCACCUGUCAAAAUAUCAAAGUAGUUACACUCCUGUGACUGGAAGAGCGCAUGGUACGUGUAUUGAGGGUGGAAGGCAUUCGCAAUUACACACAGCAUGCUAUUGAUCAAGUCAUUACCUCAUUGAAGCAAAGAGGGAUGAUAAACUCUGCAGUUCUGUUCACUUUUGAAUUUAUAUCAUAAGAUAAAAUUAAAAUCGAAUGUAUAAAAAAUACUACUAAGAUUAAAUUAAAAAACUAAUUUUUUUAUUUUUGGUAAGAAUUAAAAAACUAAUUUUUAUUUUUUAAAAUUUUGAAUUUCUUAUAUUAUAGUUCAAAUAUUAUUUAUAUUGAAGUAUAAUUUUAAUUUUAUUAAUUUAAUAAGUUUAUUAUUCGAGAAAAAUAACUUUCCUAUUAUAUAUAUUAAAAAUCAUAUCCAUAUUUAUCCUACCUCUCUAUGAGAUAAUUUUAUUCGGCCUAUAACCUUCUUAUAUCUAAUUUUAUCAUGUGUUGAGUAGACACAAGAAUUUUAUCUUGAUCGUUAAACGCAGUCUUAGAAUGUAUAGGAAUUGCUCUUGGUAAUCUCAUUCCGGUAGAUGUCUACUCUGCUGAUGGUAAAACUUGUAACUGAAAGUGAUAUAUAGAAAAUUAGAUGCAUACUUGCUGUACCAAAAAUUGUUUAGCAUCAAUUUGUCACUCUCUAUAGCAUGCUUCAUAAAUCGUCACAUUCUUUAUAUUUCUUUUAACCCUCUUGUCGGAAGCAAUUGAUGGAACAAAAGCAAUCCAAUUUUUAGGGAGUCAGAAAGAACAGUGUAUUCUUACUUGCUCGAAUCCGUUUGGCGCUUCUUGUUAAGUAUUUGACAUCUGCUUCCCUUUUCUCCUCUUUCCGGACUUCCGCUUCCUUCUUCUCCUUUCCACGGUCUUCUGCUUCCUCCUCGUCCUCCCCUUCAGCGACUUCCGCUUCCUUCUCCUCUGAUUCAUAGGCUCUGACGUUGUGUACCUGCCGAAAGGCAAGCACUAAUUUGUAGUAAAGCCAGCAUAAAAGCUGAGGUGCUAAUCUAAGUACUUCAAGAUGGAUGUUUAAAAUGCCCGGCAAACGACGAGCUGAGCGGUCACUAUCUACGAUUCAUCCGUGCAUGCCCGGGGGUUCAGAAGACUUACCUUAAAUGUCAAAGGCUGGAUCAGUUGAAACACCGGAGCAUCUCCGUCGACAAGAUCAUGAGCAAUGGAGAAACCUCUCCACCCGCCACUAAGGCCAUUCUUGUCAAUGAGAUACUUCGUCUAGAACUCUUCUUCAUCCUCGUCCACGAGGGUCACGGUGUGAUCCCGGUGAGGGAGAUGCUUGUGGCAGAAGUUAUAUGGAAGGCUCUUGAAAACAGGGGAGACAAAUCAUCCAUUAGAAGCUCUGAUAAAUAGCUCUACCAGCUUCUUGUAGAGACUAUUAGCCAGUUUUUAUGCAAAGUCAGCUGCACGGAGGCCUACCCGAAAUUUCGAAGGCUGUGCCCUUUUUCUAAUUACAAGUCAUUAUCGCAUUUUACUACACAUCGAAGGUAAGGGAGGUCCCUCGCUACUACAAACGUAAGGCAGCUUUAUCAAGACUGCAUCCACUACAAAAAAACAGCCGAGGAACAGAAAUGGAUCAAUUACAGCACAUCUCCUGCUGCUUCAAAGCGGUAAGAGUUAGUGCUUAUUGAACUCUUCCAUUACUAUAUUCAUAACCAACAAUCAUUCAAAAUCUUCUUUCCUUCAGACAAACCACAGAUAACUAUUUCAGGAAAAAGCUGCCAAAAAUCCUAAAUUAUGUCCACUUUAACGCAUUCACCCCAAACUAACACAAAAAGCCCAAAACUUGUUCUCAUGUGAUAUAUUUAUUCUAAACUUAUAUCAAUAUGAUGUAUUUACCCAAAAAAAGAAAAAAAAAAGUUCUUGUGACACCAAAAACCAGUUUAGAGUUUAUGGUGUCACCAAAAUAAUUGGAGGUAAAUAUGUUACACAGAUACAAAUUUAGAAUUACUUGUUAUGCAUGCUAAUACAACGAAAUUGCACGUUGUGAUGAGAUUUGUAUGUUGUUAGAUAAUGCACAUUACUAUUGAAAUAGAAUUUGGGAUUUGGGAUUGUCCCUGAUGUUUUGCUCUUUCAAUUUUAUACACGGAUUAUUUUGAAAUCGUUGAGGUUCGACAAUUGGCUAGAGUAAGAAGGGAGGGGAGAGAAAAGAAAAGGAGAGACAAGAAAAUAGGGAAAAAGAAAAGAAUAAAAACAAACAAAUAAAUAGAAGAAUAUUAUUUAAUAUUGUCCAAAUCAGCAUCGGUUGCACCACAUAGAAUGAUUGUCAUUGAAUUGGGAUAAAUGCAAAAAGUUUUGGACUCAAUUGGUAGAAAAAAAAAAGUUUAAGACUGAAUCGGUAUAGUUACAAUAUGUUUAUGACUUUUUUGAUAAUUUUCCUCUAUUUACAUGUUGGUCAAAUGCGUUCUCGCUGUCCUGAUAUAUAUUAGGUGUUUUUGUUUGUUUGCAUGUUGGGAUUGGAUUCCUCAUUGAACUUAAAAUAUACAGGAGGUGUAUAUCUUGUGCAUGCUGUCUAGACUAGAUCCGUCUUGCUUUGCUUGAAAGGUAAAAUGGAAUGUCCGAUUGAUAUGGAUUUGAUUCAUCCAUUAGACUUUGCCUUGACUGCAUUGCAUUCGGAAAUGACAACAAUCACACACGGCAUGACAGAGUGGAGCCGUCACUUGCUCGGUCCAUGAUGCAGCUAUUUCACCUGAGGGCAGGCGACAUAAUUUUUUUUUUUUUUUACCGUCAGAUUCUGCAAAUAAAUGAGAGGGUUACAAAGAAAUAAAUCACAUCAAACCCUACAAAAUCGUUGCAAAUUGAUUGUGGUCCUAAUUUCCAUCAAGCCACCUCAAAAAAAAAAAAAAACUUGGAAUAUUCCAAAUCCAUCGAAUCCCCAACACCUGACCCCGCACUCCCUCGGCAUUCUCCUCGUUAAUUGGGCCGUCCAGACCAGAUUUUCUUUCAUUGAUUCGGCUGGUUUGUUUAUUUUCAGGUGCGAACGGGAGCAUGCCAUGCUCCGUGCGGGGGAUAUAUAAAGCCGUGGGCCAUGACGUGUCGGCAAUGGCGAACCGCCGGAGACAAUUUUAAAGUCAAAGCCUCGCCGCCGGCCCUCGCCUCCGGCCGGAGCGCGAACGAACGAACGAGUGACGACGAGAAGGAAAAGAUCCGCCGUCUCGCUCUUUCUUUCUCAUCCUUUUUGGGCCAAACAACGGCCCCCGGCGGACCCCACCGUAACCAAUAAAAUAUUCAGUGAUGCCAAAGCGCCACGUCAAUUGCUGACGUGCCGCGCUUUUUAUUUAUAUCCAAUAAUAGUGACACGUGUUGGAUGAGGUGGAAUAAAAAAUGAAAAUCUUUUUUUUUUUCAACUUCCUACACCACCCACUCUUCUCCUCUCCUCUGCAAAUCGUUUCUCGGCCAUGGAUGGACGACACGGCCUCCUCCUCCUUCCGGCCACCGCCUGCCCAGCCACUUGAGAAUCCGGUGCGGCCGUCUCCACCGCACAAGCCAGAGGGGACUUGGAACAGUUCAUGGAGUCUCUCUCUCUCUCUGGUGUCUCCUUCCGUUGUCCUCCCUUCAAGUUCCCUUCCGUGAAGCCCAGCCAUGACAGAUCUGGAGCCAUGGCCGUGUUCUCGACAGACCUUGGAGCCAGAUCUGUCGCGGUUAUGGAUUCACAGACGAGGCCGGCCCUCGCCAGAUCUGGGCGAGGGAUGGCCUCGUCAAGACUUGUUCCAUCAUUUUUGAAGGCUCAGCCAUGAUGGCUCGACCGAGAUCUGGAGAAGGCUUAGCGCUCAGCUUUUCCGAAGCUCGGUGAUGACUGGAGGAGGGAGUCGCCGAGAUCUAAAGGUUGGCCAGGUCUGUUGCGGCCAUGGCUUCGCGGUUCCAGAUCUGGAUGCGGCCAAGUGACACCGGAAGGGGCGGAGAUGGUGGCCGCACGGGUGUCCUCUGUCAGGGAGGAAGAUGAAGAGAGAGAAAAAAGAUUUUUUUUUCCCACCUUAUCCAACACGUUUCGAUCUAUUAUUGGAUAUAAAUAAAAAGCGCGUCACGUCAGCAAUUGACGUGGCGCUUUUUGGAACCAGUGAAUAUUUUCUGAUCCGACGACAAAUCGUCAGCGACGGUUACGUUUCUCAUUUCACUAUGACUUCCUUCUUCUUCUUCUUCGAAACAUCGUCGGACGCCGGCAGUACCGCGCGCGCCACCACCCAUGGAGCUCAAGCCCGGCCUUUCCGCUCUCGUCACCGGCGGAGCUUCCGGCAUCGGUAAAAACCUCUCCUCUCCCUCGCUCGUCUCGCCUUCGCCGCCGCCGCCGCCGCCGCCGCCGCCGCCGGCGAUUCACGGCGAUCGGUCUCGUCCGACUAUCGACUCCGAGCUUUCGUCUUCCUUCCGUGUCCGUUGGAUUCUGAUGUUGCCGCCGAUGUCGUCGUCAUGAUCGACGUGCUUUGACCUCGUCGCGAGCUUACGUGUUGAGUAGUGAUGACUGGAUUUUGGCUUUGGAUGGUGUUCUGCAGGUAAGGCUCUGGCGAUAGCGCUCGCGGAGAAGGGG
rnacentral:lncRNA from 1 species